rnacentral:lncRNA from 1 species
CAAGAGACUGCAGUCUCGCACAGAGGAUCUCUACAUGGCCUCAGAAAACCAAUUUGUUUCUUUUCUCAUUUGAUAUUUCUGCUACUUCUGUCUCUCUAUAUCUACCUGGGAGCCCACAGCCGUGAAUUACGGUAUGAAUCAUGAUAAUAUGUUACAUUUCCUGGAGCACUUUGCAUUUUAGGUGCCACAUCAUUGGGAACUAUGAUGAUGAUGACGACGAUGACGACGAUACACUUAUUCUGGAUUCUAUCAGCAAAUUAAAUAAUGAUAGUGACAACCUCUGGUGGGACGCCUUUGCCACUGAAUUUUUUGAAGAUGACGCCACAUUAACCCUUUCAUUUUGUUUGGAAGAUGGACCAAAGCGAUACAGAACCAAGAAUUUAAGACCAAUUGGGGAAAAAAUGAAUAUUAAUGGAAAAUGGUGUUGCUGCCAGAAUUUAUUGUUUGGGGACUGGAGAAGAGAACUGUUCUACACAAUAAAAAAUUAUUGAGAAACACA